rnacentral:rRNA from 1 species
UACAGAGGGUGCAAGCGUUAAUCGGAAUUACUGGGCGUAAAGCGUGCGUAGACGGUCAUGUAAGUCGGGUGUGAAAGCCCCGGGCUCAACCUGGGAAUUGCAUUCGAGACUGCAUGGCUAGGAUGCGGAAGAGGGAAGCGGAAUUUCCGGUGUAGCGGUGAAAUGCGUAGAUAUCGGGAGGAACACCAGUGGCGAAGGCGGUUGCCUGGAGCUUUGCUGACGCUGAUGCGCGAAAGCGUGGGGAGCGAUCCGG